UACGUAGGUGGCAAGCGUUGUCCGGAUUUACUGGGCGUAAAGGGCGUGCGGGCGGUCUGUUAAGUGCAGGGUGAAAGCUCCCGGCUCAACUGGGAGAGGUCCUUGCAUACUGGCGGACUUGAGGGGGGUAGAGGAAAGUGGAAUUCCCGGUGUAGUGGUGAUAUGCGUAGAUAUCGGGAGGAACACCUGUGGCGAAGGCGGCUUUCUGGGCCCUACCUGACGCUGAGACGCGAAAGCGUGGGGAGCGAACCGG
rnacentral:rRNA from 1 species